rnacentral:rRNA from 1 species
CUACGAGGGAGGGCUAGCGUUGCUCGGAAUCACUGGGCGUAAAGCGCACGUAGGCGGCUUGUUAAGUCAGGGGUGAAAUCCUGGAGCUCAACUCCAGAACUGCCUUUGAUACUGACGAGCUUGAGUUCGGGAGAGGUGAGUGGAACUGCGAGUGUAGAGGUGAAAUUCGUAGAUAUUCGCAAGAACACCAGUGGCGAAGGCGGCUCACUGGCCCGAUACUGACGCUGAGGUGCGAAAGCGUGGGGAGCAAACAGG